rnacentral:misc_RNA from 1 species
UUUCCGUAGGUGAACCUGCGGAACGAUCAUUAAAGAACGCCCCGUUUUUUGAAAUGGGUAAUUCUAAACCGUGUAUACAUACCUUUGUUGCUUUGGCAGGCCGCCCCUCAGGGCGUCGGCUCCGGCUGACUGCGCCUGCCAGAGGACCCAAACUCUUUUGUUUAGUGAUGUCUGAGUACUAUAUAAUAGUUAAAACUUUCAACAACGGAUCUCUUGGUUCUG